ACUCCUACGGGAGGCAGCAGUGGGGAAUAUUGCACAAUGGGCGCAAGCCUGAUGCAGCCAUGCCGCGUGUAUGAAGAAGGCCUUCGGGUUGUAAAGUACUUUCAGCAGUGAGGAAGGCGGAGUCGUUAAUAGCGGCCUCGUUUGACGUUAGCUGCAGAAGAAGCACCGGCUAACUCCGUGCCAGCAGCCGCGGUAAUACGGAGGGUGCGAGCGUUAAUCGGAAUUACUGGGCGUAAAGCGCAUGCAGGCGGCCUGUUAAGUCAGAUGUGAAAGCCCGGGGGCUUAACCUCGGAAUUGCAUUUGAAACUGGCAGGCUAGAGUCUUGUAGAGGGGGGUUAGAAUUUCAGGUGUAGCGGUGAAAUGCGUAGAGAUCUGAAGGAAUACCAGUGGCGAAGGCGGCCCCCUGGACAAAGACUGACGCUCAGAUGCGAAA
rnacentral:rRNA from 1 species